AAGUACAGGAUGCCCAAUGAAU
rnacentral:miRNA from 1 species